rnacentral:rRNA from 1 species
UGGGGAAUAUUGGACAAUGGGGGAAACCCUGAUCCAGCGAUGCCGCGUGAAGGAAGAAGGCCUUUGGGUUGUAAACUUCUGUCGAUAGGGACAAGUGCGUGCGGGUGAACAAUCCGUACGCUCGAUGGUACCUGUAAAGGAAGCACCGGCUAACCUCGUGCCAGCAGCCGCGGUAAUACGAGGGGUGCAAGCGUUGUUCGGAUUCAUUGGGUUUAAAGGGUGCGUAGGCGGACUGAUAAGUCAGUGGUGAAAUCUCUCGGCUUAACCGAGAAACUGCCAUUGAUACUGUUAGUCUAGAGUACAGAUGAUGUGGGCGGAAUAUGACAUGUAGUGGUGAAAUACUUAGAUAUGUCAUAGAACACCGAUUGCGAAGGCAGCUCACAAAACUGUAACUGACGCUGAGGCACGAAAGUGCGGGGAUCAAACAGGAUUAGAUACCCCCGUAGUCCCUG